UACGAAGGGGGCUAGCGUUGCUCGGAAUCACUGGGCGUAAAGGGUGCGUAGGCGGGUCUUUAAGUCAGGGGUGAAAUCCUGGAGCUCAACUCCAGAACUGCCCUUUGAUACUGAAGAUCUUGAGUUCGGGAGAGGUGAGUGGAACUGCGAGUGUAGAGGUGAAAUUCGUAGAUAUUCGCAAGACACCAGUGGCGAAGGCGGCUCACUGGCCCGGUACUGACGCUGAGGUGCGAAAGCGUGGGAGCAACAGG
rnacentral:rRNA from 1 species